AUGAGGAAGAGUUUCCAUACUGAAAGCAGCAGAUGUGUCCUAUGUGAUGAUGAGCCCAAUGAGCAAUUCAUCCACUUAUUUUUCAGUUGUGAUUUUAGCCACAAUUUCUGGUUAUCUAUUGGAUUUCAAUGGAACACUGACCAAAAUCUGAUGGAGAUGCUUGUGGAAGGGAAGAAGCAUAACAACAUUUGUUGCUUUAAUGAAUGCCUAAUUGCAGGUUGUUGGAGCAUUUGGAAACACAGAAAUGGCAUCAUAUUUGACCACCAGACCAGAAAUAUCAAUCAAUGUAUUGCUAGCUUCAAGGAGCACUGUGACAUGAUCAUCAAAAGAGCUAGGCCUAGUUUGAAAGAAGGAAUGCAACCCUGGCUAGACUAUUUGUGA
rnacentral:rRNA from 1 species